GCCGGGAUGGCGGAACUGGCAGACGCAGCGGACUCAAAAUCCGUCGGAGGCAACUCCAUGGGGGUUCGAUUCCCCCUCCCGGCA
rnacentral:tRNA from 1 species